rnacentral:antisense_RNA from 1 species
UGGUGUGCUAAUAGCUGCCGUUGUAAGAAUUCAGGAUUGCAUCCUUGAUUGUAAAGAUAUAAAACAGGAAUACGGAUUCUGAGACCAGGGUUUCUUUCUGGUUCAUAGUCCACAAAAACAUAAAUUUCGCGAAGUACUCUGAGAUCAAUAGGGAAGCCAGCAUCAAUAACAGCUUGAAUAUUAUGAACCUCAAAACUUAAAAGUUUUGCUUUUUCAAAACCUUUACUUCUAAGUUUUCUAACGAUCUUCUUGAGUGAAUUUUUUGUACAUUCAACGCUAACCCCUCCUGUGGCUUGAAUUUUACCAUUUGAAAAUGCCGAAACUGUAACCACACUUUUCGUAUGUUUAUCUGGGAUAUCGGCUCUAAAAAUACAAUAAAUUAGAUGUUAUAAAUGGCAAAAAUAGAGUAUAUAAGGGCAUGAAAUUAAGUUAAAAUAUAAAAACAUAUAUUUAAUUUCAAAUGCACCAACUGUAAUUUAAUCCUUUCCUAGGAUUAAUUAUCCCCUUAAAAACUUAAAAUAACUUACCUUGCAGCAGGAAACUCCUGAGGAUCAUAAUAUGUGUUCCCAAAAUUCUCUGUAAACCAUGGUAAAUCAAUAUUCACUCCAGUAUUUGCGCUUGCUAAUACAUUGUAAAUAUUUAAUACCAUUGGCUGCUCUGGCUCCUCCAUUUCCAUAACUGAACCAAUAUCUUCCUCAAAUUCACACCUUGAAGCCUCCAUUAUAAAUGUGUUGUUGCUUCCCUAAUUUUUCUCAGCUUCUUUUCUUCUUGCUUGAAUUUUUAGUUUAUAUUAUUAAAACAAAGGUCUUUACUUUUCAUAAUUCAACUCUAAACUUCUUACCAAUUACUUUCUGCCACAAUCAUCCAACUCCCCUUAAUACUACCUAUCUUUUGGUAUUUUAAGUAAUGACUAAGCAACU